GAAAAUCUAACGGUUAUGGCCAAGAAGGAGAUGUCCUGCCUUGGGAGUGAAUCAAAUGGAAAAGGGGGUGUCCUAGCUCCAGCUGCAAUGGUCGCUGACAUGCAUUGGACGCACCCAGUGAUGGGGAGUGCUGGUGGACAGGAUCUGCGCGUCCUAUCAGAAAGGAACAACGACGAACCAUUGAAUCAACAGAGGACGUGUUGGCUCUCCAAUAAGAAGUUUUGCUGUAUCAGAGAUGUAGAAAUAGAUA